rnacentral:rRNA from 1 species
ACGAACGCUGGCGGCGUGCCUAAUACAUGCAAGUUGAGCGCUGAAGGUUGGUACUUGUACCAACUGGAUGAGCAGCGAACGGGUGAGUAACGCGUGGGGAAUCUGCCUUUGAGCGGGGGACAACAUUUGGAAACGAAUGCUAAUACCGCAUAAAAACUUUAAACACAAGUUUUAAGUUUGAAAGAUGCAAUUGCAUCACUCAAAGAUGAUCCCGCGUUGUAUUAGCUAGUUGGUGAGGUAAAGGCUCACCAAGGCGAUGAUACAUAGCCGACCUGAGAGGGUGGUCGGCCACAUUGGGACUGAGACACGGCCCAAACUCCUACGGGAGGCAGCAGUAGGGAAUCUUCGGCAAUGGACGAAAGUCUGACCGAGCAACGCCGCGUGAGUGAAGAAGGUUUUCGGAUCGUAAAACUCUGUUGGUAGAGAAGAACGUUGGUGAGAGUGGAAAGCUCAUCAAGUGACGGUAACUACCCAGAAAGGGACGGCUAACUACGUG